AUUGGUUUAUGUCUGGUCAAAGAAGCUAUUGUUUUUUCAACAGAAACAGCUUGUAUAGACAAAAAAAGGAGGACAUUUACACGAAUUACCAUUAUAUUGCAUUUAAAUGAGCUAUUUAAAAAUUGCAUAAUCUCUACGCGUAGCUGCUUUCUAGUGACCAUUUUGGAUGAAACUUUCUCAUGUUUUGUUAGCCGUGUUGUUAUAGCGUGUAGUGACUCCAGAAAAUUUGACAAGAU